AUGAACGCUAGCGGCAAGGCUUAAUACAUGCAAGUCGUGGGGCAGCAGGUUUGUAGCAAUACAGAUGCUGGCGACCGGCAAACGGGUGCGGAACACGUACAGAACCUUCCUUUGAGCGGGGAAUAGCCCAGAGAAAUUUGGAUUAAUACCCCAUAGUAUAAUGAAGUGGCAUCACUUUAUUAUUAAAGAUUUAUCACUCGAAGAUGGCUGUGCGGCUGAUUAGGUAGUUGGCGGGGUAAAGGCCCACCAAGCCUGCGAUCAGUAACUGGUGUGAGAGCACGACCAGUCACACGGGCACUGAGACACGGGCCCGACUCCUACGGGAGGCAGCAGUAAGGAAUAUUGGUCAAUGGAGGCAACUCUGAACCAGCCAUGCCGCGUGGAGGAUGAAGGUCCUCUGGAUUGUAAACUUCUUUUAUAUGGGACGAAAAAAGGCUUUUCUAAGUCGUCUGACGGUACCAUAUGAAUAAGCACCGGCUAACUCCGUG
rnacentral:rRNA from 1 species